rnacentral:rRNA from 1 species
GACAGAGGUGGCAAGCGUUGUUCGGAUUUACUGGGCGUAAAGAGAGCGUAGGCGGCCGUGUAUGUCGGGUGUGAAAUCUCUCGGCUUAACCGAGAAACUGCAUUCGAAACUGCACGGCUAGAGGACAGGAGGGGGAAGUGGAAUUCCCGGUGUAGCGGUGAAAUGCGUAGAUAUCAAGAGGAACACCUGAGGUGAAGACGGGUUGCUGGGCCAACACUGACGCUGAGGCGCGAAAGCCAGGGGAGCAAACGGG